CAGUCGCCGCGGUAAUACGAAGGGUGCAAGCGUUACUCGGAAUUACUGGGCGUAACGCGUGCGUAGGUGGUGGUUUAAGUCCGUUGUGAAAGCCCUGGGCUCAACCUGGGAAUUGCAGUGGAUACUGGGUCACUAGAGUGUGGUAGAGGAUAGUGGAAUUUCCGGUGUAGCAGUGAAAUGCGUAGAGAUCGGAAGGAACAUCUGUGGCGAAGGCGACUAUCUGGGCCAACACUGACACUGAGGCACGAAAGCGUGGGGAGCAAACAGGAUUAGAUACCCCAGUAGUCCCUGUCUCUUAUAC
rnacentral:rRNA from 1 species